AGUGAACGCUGGCGGUAGGCCUAACACAUGCAAGUCGAACGGCAGCACAGUAAGAGCUUGCUCUUACGGGUGGCGAGUGGCGGACGGGUGAGGAAUACAUCGGAAUCUACUUUUUCGUGGGGGAUAACGUAGGGAAACUUACGCUAAUACCGCAUACGACCUACGGGUGAAAGCAGGGGAUCUUCGGACCUUGCGCGAUUGUAUGAGCCGAUGUCGGAUUAGCUAGUUGGCGGGGUAAAGGCCCACCAAGGCGACGAUCCGUAGCUGGUCUGAGAGGAUGAUCCGCCAAACUGGAACUUAGACACCGUCCAGACUCCUACGGGGGGCAGGAGUUGGGAAUAUUGGGCAAUGGGGCGAAGCCUGAUCCAGACAAACCGCGUGGGUGAAGAAGGCCUUCGGGUUGUAAAGCCCUUUUGUUGGGAAAGAAAAGCAGCAGGUUAAUACCCCGCUGUUCUGACGGUACCCAAAGAAUAAGCACCGGCUAACUUCGUG
rnacentral:rRNA from 1 species